AGUGAACGCUGGCGGUAGGCCUAACACAUGCAAGUCGAACGGCGGCACAGUAAGAGCUUGCUCUUACGGGUGGCGAGUGGCGGACGGGUGAGGAAUACAUCGGAAUCUACUUUUUCGUGGGGGAUAACGUAGGGAAACUUACGCUAAUACCGCAUACGACCUACGGGUGAAAGCAGGGGAUCUUCGGACCUUGCGCGAUUGAAUGAGCCGAUGUCGGAUUAGCUAGUUGGCGGGGUAAAGGCCCACCAAGGCGACGAUCCGUAGCUGGUCUGAGAGGAUGAUCAGCCACACUGGAACUGAGACACGGUCCAGACUCCUACGGGAGGUAGCAGUGGGGAAUAUUGGACAAUGGGCGCAAGCCUGAUCCAGCCAUACCGCGUGGGUGAAGAAGGCCUUCGGGUUGUAAAGCCCUUUUGUUGGGAAAGAAAAGCAGCAGGUUAAUACCCCGCUGUUCUGACGGUACCCAAAGAAUAAGCACCGGCUAACUUCGUG
rnacentral:rRNA from 1 species